rnacentral:rRNA from 1 species
GAUGAACGCUGGCGGCGUGCCUAAUACAUGCAAGUCGAGCGAACGGACGAGAAGCUUGCUUCUCUGAUGUUAGCGGCGGACGGGUGAGUAACACGUGGAUAACCUACCUAUAAGACUGGGAUAACUUCGGGAAACCGGAGCUAAUACCGGAUAAUAUUUUGAACCGCAUGGUUCAAAAGUGAAAGACGGUCUUGCUGUCACUUAUAGAUGGAUCCGCGCUGCAUUAGCUAGUUGGUAAGGUAACGGCUUACCAAGGCAACGAUGCAUAGCCGACCUGAGAGGGUGAUAGGCCACACUGGAACUGAGACACGGUCCAGACUCCUACGGGAGGCAGCAGUAGGGAAUCUUCCGCAAUGGGCGAAAGCCUGACGGAGCAAAGCCGCGUGAGUGAUGAAGGUCUUCGGAUCGUAAAACUCUGUUAUUAGGGAAGAACAUAUGUGUAAGUAACUGUGCACAUCUUGACGGUACCUAAUCAGAAAGCCACGGCUAACUACGUG